rnacentral:rRNA from 1 species
UACGUAGGGGGCGAGCGUUGUCCGAAGUUACUGGGCGUAAAGCGCGCGUAGGCGGGCUGUUAAGUGAGAAGUGAAAGGCUGAGGCUCAACCUCAUGCAGUGCUUCUCAUACUGGCAGUCUUGAGGGCGGCAGAGAGAAGUGGAAUGGCUGGUGUAGCGGUGAAAUGCGUAGAUAUCAGUCGGAACACCCGUGGCGAAGGCGGCUUCUUGGGCCGUACCUGACGCUGAGGCGCGAAAGCCAGGGGAGCGAACGGG